AUUGAACGCUGGCGGCAUGCCUUACACAUGCAAGUCGAACGGCAGCACGGGUGCUUGCACCUGGUUGCGAGUGGCGCACGGGUGUGUAAUACAUCGGAACAUGUCCUGUAGUGGGGUAUAGCCCGGCGAAAGCCGGAUUAAUACCGCAUACGCUCCACGGGUGAAAGCGGGGGACCUUCGGGCCUCGCUCUAUAGGGUUGGCCGAUGGCUGAUUAGCUAGUUGGUGGGGUAAAGGCCUACCAAGGCGACGAUCAGUAGCUGGUCUGAGAGGACGACCAGCCACACUGGGACUGAGACACGGCCCAGACUCCUACGGGAGGCAGCAGUGGGGAAUAUUGGACAAUGGGCGAAAGCCUGAUCCAGCAAUGCCGCGUGUGUGAAGAAGGCCUUCGGGUUGUAAAGCACUUUUGUCCGGAAAGAAAUGCUGGAAUCUAAUACAGUCGGGGGAUGACGGUACCGGAAGAAUAAGCACCGGCUAACUACGUG
rnacentral:rRNA from 1 species